ensembl:lncRNA
AACCCAAAGAACACCAUCCCAACCAUGAAGCAUGGAGGUGGAAACAUCAUUCUUUGGGGAUGCUUUUCUGCAAAGGGGACUGGACUACUGCACCGUAUUGAGGGGAGGAUGCAGACAUCACAAGUCUCCCGGAAGUUCCGGGAGUUUCCCGCAUAUUGAUAGCGGCUCCCUGAUGCCCGCAAAUGAGUUAAAAUAUCCCGGAAUUUAGAAUGAGUGAUCAAGGGCGCGCAUGCGAGACAGAGACUGUGCUUCAAACCGUGUAGCGCACGGCAGAGAGGGAGAGGGAGCGAGAGAACUUGCGUGUGUGUGCUAGUCUGGGUGUGUGCCUCAUGAAGCGCAUAUAAUACAGAGAGCAUCCUGAUUGGCCUGUUUCGGUAAGUCAACCAAUCAAUUGACAGUGUGGGCGGGCUUUUAUCUCUUCUCUCGAGUCCCAAACUGAAUACUCAGUCAGUUCAGUAUAGAAACAAGAGCGCGAUGGGAGAGGGAGAGUGCCCCAAAAAACGCAAAUACAAGAUGUCUCACCAAACACUUGUGAAUCUGAUGUCUUGCAAGAUAAACAAAUUCAUUGACACAGAGUGCUAUGAGGUUGAGGUUUCUGGAAUGUUGGUAAAAUCUGCAAAGCAAGCAACUAUAAAGUACAAUGAAAGCUUGCAAGAAAAGUAAAAGGCAUAUGAUGUAGGAAAUAGUCCUAGGCCUACAUAGGCAACAUUUGCAGUGUGUGUAAAUAGUUAUUUUAUUCAUUCAUUGUUGUUAUAUUCAACUGUAUUUCGGUAUACAAGUAAAGUCAUAUCCUUGUCCUCAUUUUUAUUGACUAUUGCACUAUUGCUUGUGUAAAGGACCUUUGUGUAGACAUGUACAGUAAACACAUCUCGCCAUUGCUUACCAUCAUAUUUUUACCAACUAAUGGCCAUUUUUCACUGCAUGUUACCAGCUCAACUCGUCUAUAGCCUCAACUUUAAUGCUUCAUGGGGGACAGUUCUUUACUGAGUUUAAACACCGCCGUGUCCGUAGAUGGCGCUAUUGUAGCGAAUUGCACAUGUGUAAGUCAUGACCAUGAGGCUAUGAGUAAGAACGCCAUUUGGAUUCCACGCUGUUGUACCGUGCAAACUAGAACAUUAAUUUUAGCGACUUGGUUCUCUCGUCAACUCUUAUUCAAAGUGUAUAAGCUAUAUGCUCUGAAUUGGACAAUACAACAUGUGGAUUAUCACAUUGUUUUACUACAAUUUGAUGAACUAUCGAAACAAACGAAGAUCAAGGAUUUUUUGGACAUCAGACUGAAAAUUGUUGAACGCUGAGUCUCCUACAUAGCUAUGGUGAGUUCUGUUCUAUUAUAAAUUACUUGCGUUAAGUGUUGUUAGGUUACUGAGUAAGAACGUAAUGACUGUUUUGUAUUAAAUAAUUACUGUUUGCAAUAUGCAGCUUCUGCAGUAAUGCAGUCGAUCUAUCGGUCUGUCGUGGUGAAGAAAGAUUUACCGGUCAAUCUACGUUCCUACUCUCACCUAUGGUCAUGAGCUUUGGGUCAUGACCGAAAGGACAAGAUCCCGGAUAUAGGCAGCCGAAAUGAGCUUUCUCCGCAGGGUGGCUGGGCGAUCCCUUAGAGAUAGGGUGAGAAGCUCGGUCACCCGGGAGGAGCUCAGAGUAGAGCCGCUGCUCCUCCACAUCAAGAGGGGUCAGUUGAGGUGGCUUGGGCAUCUGUUCCGGAUGCUUCCUGAACGCCUUCCUGGGAAGGUGUUCCGGGCCCGUCUCACCGGAAGGAGACCCCGGGGAAGACCUAGGACACGCUGGAGGGACUAUGUCUCCCGGCUGGCCUGGGAACGCCUCGGUGUCCUCCCGGAAGAGCUAGAGGAAGUGUCUUGGGAGAGGGAAGUCUGGGCAUCUCUGCUUAGACUGCUGCCCCCACGACCCGGCCCAGGAUAAACGGAAGAAGAUGGAUGUUUGCAAUAUUCUAUUAACAUUCAAAUUCUUUAGUCAAGUUACUGGUAGCUGAACACAAGUUCUAAACCAUUGGCGGGGAAACAAGUUAUAGAAACUGAGCUUGAAAAAAACAUCUUUGGCCUGAGAUAAAAUACCUACAGUAACCCUUGUUUAUUCGUGUGUCCACAAGUUUGGUUGCUUACUAUAUUUUGUUUCUUCGUUUAUCCUCAAGUUCGGAUGUUUUGUGCUUCUUCGCAUAUCAACAGUUGAACAGGUGAUGACGAUUUCUGUAGUUUUGUUCCCGGAGGUGGAUGACUUUGUGGCAGCAGUUCCACGCCAGGUUGAAUUACAUGUUGAUCUCGUAAUUGCUGCAAUGUUUACUUGGUUUCACCAUAUUUACCUGUUCACCAACUUUUAUGUUUAUUUUUAGGAUGGAGCAAGCACAGUACUCCUAGGCACCAGACAGGUACUCCACGCCACCAUGUAGAGGAUGGCUACAUAGGUAAGUGUGGGUUCAUUCACUUAACCCAGAUGCUUAAAUUGUUAUUAAAGCAUGUUGCUUCGAGCCAUUUAUACUCUCCCUGCUCACCGACCGGGCACUCGAGCCCCAGUCCCCGCUCCAGCUCCGCGGCCUGCCCCAGUCCCCGCUCCAGCUCCGCGGCCUGCCCCAGGCCCCGCUCCAGCUCCGCGGCCUGCCCCAGGCCCCGCUCCAGCUCCGCGGCCUGCCCCAGGCCCCGCUCCAAUAUUUUGUUUGUCCUUGUCUUGUCCUUGUAUGGUCUUUCCUGUUCUUGUUUCAGUUGAUUGGUAUGUUCAGUUCACCUGUGUUUAGCCCCCACCUGUUUCUGUUCUCCUCGUUUGUCUGUGUAUUUUGUUCAGCCAUUUUCUCCCUGUCAGUGUAGGUCAUUGUGCUUGUGUGCCUGUUAUGUUUGUGUGCUCCUGAACCAUUGAACCCCUGAACUCUUGAGUAUUUUUGUAGUGCCCGGCACUCCGUUUGGUUUUCUUUGUUUUUGUUAAAUAAAAAGGGGAAACACCUCAAUCUUCUGCGCCUGCCUCCGUCUCCUACUAUACAACGUGACAAUUUCUUAUUUAUUUUUACUGCUGCUAUGUACAGUGUUAUAUAUGAUUGCAUUAUCCUCAAUAUAUGUAUAGCUCUGUGUGAAUUCUGACUGUAGUUGUAGUGUUAUGCCACCAUUCAUAAGCUUAUUGCACUGAUGCAUCUGAUUUUCAAUAACUAUUGAUUGCUGCUAGGUCAUACUUAUAUAUAUUACUGACAUUCCAGCCCUUGUUUAUUUUGUAUUGUAUUAUGUUUAUUUUGUACUUUCACAUUCAAAUACUGUAGUUUUACUAUCUGUUUCUAGACACGUUUUCUAGCACUUUGAUUUUGUAACAUUUUUAUUUCAAUUCAUUUGCACAUGUUUAUUUUGUAUGCUUG